GUUAUAUGGUCAAGUGAAGAAGCGCAUACGGUGGAUGCCUUGGCAGUCAGAGGCGAUGAAAGACGUGGUAGCCUGCGAUAAGCUCUGGGGAGUCGGCAAACAGACUUUGAUCCAGAGAUCUCUGAAUGGGGGAACCCACUCAGCACAAGCUGAGUAUCUUGUACUGAAUACAUAGGUGCAAGAGGCGAACCAGGGGAACUGAAACAUCUAAGUACCCUGAGGAAAAGAAAUCAACCGAGAUUCCCUUAGUAGUGGCGAGCGAACGGGGACCAG
rnacentral:rRNA from 1 species